CUGCAGCUCAAGUGGUGAUCAUUAUUAUUGGGCCUAAAACGUCCGUAGCCGGUUUAGUAAAUGCCUGGGUAAAUCGUGUAGCUUAACUAUACGACUUCCGGGUAGACUGCUAAACUUGAGACCGGGAGAGGCUAGAGGUACUCCUGGGGUAGAGGUGAAAUUCUGUAAUCCUAGGGGGACCACCAGUGGCGAAGGCGUCUGACUAGAACGGGUCUGACGGUGAGGGACGAAGCCCUGGGGCGCAAACCGGAUUAGAGACCCGAGUAGUCC
rnacentral:rRNA from 1 species